rnacentral:tRNA from 1 species
AGGCCUUUAUUUACAAUGACUUAGAAAUACACCUACUAUCUUCUAAGCCGUAGGUCACAGGUUCGAAUCCUGUAGGGCGUGCCA